CGAGGGGCAGCAUGAUUUGUAGCAAUACAGAUUGAUGGCGACCGGCGCAGCGGGUGAGUAACGCGUAUGCAACUUACCUAUCAGAGGGGGAUAGCCCGGCGAAAGUCGGAUUAAUACCCCAUAAAACAGGGGUCCCGCAUGGGAAUAUUUGUUAAAGAUUCAUCGCUGAUAGAUAGGCAUGCGUUCCAUUAGGCAGUGGGCGGGGUAACGGCCCACCAAACCGACGAUGGAUAGGGGUUCUGAGAGGAAGGUCCCCCACAUUGGUACUGAGACACGGACCAAACUCCUACGGGAGGCAGCAGUGAGGAAUAUUGGUCAAUGGCCGAGAGGCUGAACCAGCCAAGUCGCGUGAAGGAAGAAGGAUCUAUGGUUUGUAAACUUCUUUUAUAGGGGAAUAAAGUGGAGGACGUGUCCUUUUUUGUAUGUACCCUAUGAAUAAGCAUCGGCUAACCCCGUGCCAGCAGCCGCGGUAAUACGGAGGAUGCGAGCGUUAUCCGGAUUUAUUGGGUUUAAAGGGUGCGUAGGUGGUGAUUUAAGUCAGCGGUGAAAGUUUGUGGCUCAACCAUAAAAUUGCCGUUGAAACUGGGUUACUUGAGUGUGUUUGAGGUAGGCGGAAUGCGUGGUGUAGCGGUGAAAUGCAUAGAUAUCACGCAGAACUCCGAUUGCGAAGGCAGCUUACUAAACCA
rnacentral:rRNA from 1 species